rnacentral:rRNA from 1 species
CGGAGGGUGCAAGCGUUAUCCGGAUUCACUGGGUUUAAAGGGUGCGUAGGUGGCUUUGUAAGUCAGUGGUGAAAUCUCGGAGCUUAACUCCGAAACUGCCAUUGAUACUGCUUAGCUUGAAUCAGGUCGAGGUGGAUGGAAUAUUACAUGUAGCGGUGAAAUGCUUAGAUAUGUAAUAGAACACCGAUUGCGAAGGCAGUCCACUAGGCCUGUAUUGACACUGAGGCACGAAAGCGUGGGGAUCAAACAGGAUUAGAUACCCUGGUAGUCCACGCCCUAAACGAUGUAAACUCGACAUCAGCGAUACACUGUUGGUGUCCAAGCUAACGCGUUAAGUUUACCACCUGGGAAGUACGACCGCAAGGUUG